AAUUCUUAAGGAAAUUCCUCUUAUUAUAAGACUAUCUAUUUAUUUAUUUGCUUAUUGUGAAUAUUAUAGAUUUUCUGGUCGAAGGUCUUCUUAGAUGCAACAUAAUGCUAGUUCAGUAAAUGAUGGUCCAUUUAGAGUCAAAUUGACCAUAAAGCAGUUACAAGUUUGCACCAACUGACUUUUUUUUUUUUUUCCAAUCUGGGAAACUGCUAAGAAGAUGGCCUCCCAUCCGGUGAGUUCAUUCCCCCCUCGAAGAAGCUCAUGAGCCGCUGAGAGACGACAUUAGAAGACGACGUGCUCACCAAACUGUGGGGCUGUUUCUGCUGUUAUAGUGGGACUGCCACUUCAAAUCCAUCGUUAUUUGUUUUACAAAGGCAUAACAGGCCCAACAAUAUAAUACUCCCCACAGUCAGAGUACAAAAUGAAACCGCCGCUGCUCGCCUGUUGACAUCAGCUGCAGGGAAAAAAAGAGCACAGCUGGAAACCCUUUUUUGACCGUUUUCACUGCUGGGCCACAACUCCCAUUUUAUAUGAAGAAUAAUCCAGCGAGGCCGUCACUGCACUUCCAAUCCACUGUCUGCUCCUCUGCAUGUUUGUCCUUCGGGUUCAUUUGCUCCAUUUAUUUCUGCUUCUUGGUGUCCCAUCGGCUUCCUUCUGCUCGCCGCCGCUCGCUUUCACACCUACGGCGCCCACCUUACUGUGUACACGGUGAUUCCUGAGUACAAUGCAAUUUGUGUUUUUUUUUUAUACAGUUUAUGUCUUACGCCAACAUUCAUCUCGUAGUCUAUCGGGCUCCGUGUUCCCACAGUCAGUGCGUCAAAUCCCACUACAGCCCCUCCUGUGAUUUGAAAGUAGAGGCAUGUAGUUAUUUUUAUGGCGCCAUGGGAACAAAUCUGCUAUGUUAUAGUAACCCUGUUCCAUGUAGGUGGCAAAAUGAUUUGUGUGUCACAGAGAUGGCCCCUUUUCUUAAAUAAGAUCCCCCCCCCCCCGUCUUCCUUUACAGUGUUUGUGUGUGUGUGUGUGUGUGUGUUUGUGUGUGACUUUCUCCCUGUAUGUGCUUGUGUUUCUGCAAGUAGGCUGGCAGCGAGGAGCGCUUGGUUCAUCGGUAGGGUCAGCACAGCGGGGAGGCUCAGGGAAAUGAAAGCAUUGAGGAGCUGAUUCUGAAUGAGUGUGGGAGAGACGGGAGGAGAAGGGGAGGCGGGGGGUUCGAAACAGGGAAGGAAAUGUAGAAAUGAAGAGCAAAGAGAGAGAGAGAGACUGAACAACCCGCUCUGUAAAUAUUGUACUUGAUCUUGUCGGUGACGUGAAUUUGAAAUUUGCAUUUGAGAGGUAGAGAGACUCAAGGAUCUUCUGUGAGUCAACGCCAGCAUCUUCUUCAACGUAUUUCCUUGAUAUGUUUUUUUUGUACGGCUUAAAAUGCAAAUACUGUUCAUUAAAUUAGAACCUAAACAUGAAGAAAAGGAGGCGGACGGGGCGACGGAGCAAAGCCACAGGGGCUGGAAAAGGGCUUUAGAACGGAUGGAAAGACAUCGAAGGGAAAGGAGUUGGGCAGAUAACGGAGGUCAAGAGAAGGAGCGCAACUGGGAAGACAAGAUGGAGAAGAGAGAGAGAGAGAGAGAGAGAGAGAGAGAGAGAGUAACAGAGAAGGGGGGAGAGAGAUGUGUGGAUGCAAGGAGGGAAGAAGAGAGAGCAGGGAGGGAGAGAUAUCAGAGAGGAAAGAGAGAGGCAGGAAGAUGAAAAGGGAAAAGACCAGAUCACCAUCAUCAUCAUCAUCAUCCUCAUCCUCAUCAGGAGAGAGAGAGAGAGAGAGAGAGAGAGAGAGAGAGAGAGAGAGAGAGAGAGAGAGAGAGAGAGAUGACUCAUGUGAGCAGCACUAAACUCUGUCUUUCCCUUCCUCACUCUCUUUCUUCCACUCAGAUACAAGAGGUCCUCUCAGCCAAUCAGGACGCAGUGUCUCUGCAUCACACGGCCUAUCGGCCUCCUUCUCUCCCCCUCGGUGUCUCUCCCUCUCUCUCCCCCUCCUCUCUCCCUCUCCCUCCCUCCUCUGUGUCUGACCCGCCAACACGAGCAUUCUCUGUCUUCCUAAAUUAAAUUCACUAGGCUUUAUUGGAGUUAUAUUACAUUACAUUUUACAAUAUUGCAGACGUGUCAAGUAUUAAUGUGUUUAUGAAGGAAAUUAUUUUCUUCAAAUUUAUUAAGUCAAGAAAAUAGAUGUAAACAACAAACCCUUGAUCCCUCUCGCUCUCUUAUUCCAUUUCUAUCUCGUUGAAUUUCAGUCGUUGAGUCGGCCAUCCUAGUAUAUUUAUCUACAUAUUUACCUCUUUAACAUCCAGAAAUAAUCCAAAUCUAGUUUUAUUCCAUUCUGUCUGAUGCUUCCGCAGACGCACAAAGCUAAAAAGUGACGGCAAAUCAACUUCAGCUGGUCUUGACUUUUCUUUUCUGCGCUGCAUUUGAAGCAACAACCAAUCAUAUUGCUUUGUUUCACUCUGAAACUUCUUCUGGCAGCUUGAGUGAGUCAUGAGAAUGAUGUCGUGAGAAUGACGUCUAUUACGAUUUGCACCAUUCAAUUAAAUCAAAUUAGUCCAAUUGAACAUGUUUAUAUUGUGUUCACUGCUGACAAAGUGCGUGAUUAAUCAACUAAAUCAAGAAGAUGAAUUUACUAUAAUAAUAAUAAUUGUUCCUUGUUGCUCCACUUUAAAGACACACAGGUGUUUCUCGCUUCCUUUUGCAAACUAGACCCCCCGCUGAGGUUGAAAGCGCCGCUUUAAAGAGAAACUCAAUGAUCACUGGCGCAUUGAAGAUAACAUCACAUUCAGGAGGAUCGCAGUCAAACACAGAUGCAUCUGUCAACAACCUACAGUGUAUACGUUCAAAUGUGGAGGAACGACCCAGGAGAUGUGGGAGUCUCACUCCUUCCUUCCUGACCAAAAGGUCAAGUUCUUCACACACUGCAGCGUACGCCGAACCUAACACCCGAGGGUGCCGGAGGGAAGCCCGGCCGUCCUCGGGCCUCGGAGGUGCAUUUGAAAAAAAGAAAUGAGCUGUUUUUUUAUAAAGCUCCAUCAGCUGUAGGAAAGGAUCACGCUACUAAAUACGUGCUCCUGCGCCAUCGACGUAGUACGACGUUAUGUAACGUGGGAUUACUGCACAGCUCUUCAUGACUGGGAGGCAAACAUUACUCUUUAAUGACUCACUUUUUCUUUUUCUUUUUUUCAUCUCUCUCUCUCUCUGUACAUAUUCUCAUUAAUACUAACUCUUUAAAUCUGGACGGAUAUUUCCAUCUGUCUCUCUUCCCGGCUUGUGUUCAGUCGAGGAUGAAAAGCUCACACACACACUCCAGGAUGACUCGGUUAAACACAACGCGCGCUAAGCCUCUGUGUCAGCAUGUGGGGCAGAUGGAGAGAGGGGUGAGGCAGGCAGGGAGGAUGCAGGGGGUGAGGGAGGGAGGGGAGGCUGAGAGACCUUAGCUGAACAAAUGCAGGUAUUUUCCAUGGAUGAGGUGUCUGUACACGCAAAGGUGUGUCCGUGAAGGAAAACGUGCCCGUGUUUGCAUCUGUUUUGUUUGGUAUGUUUGCUAAUCUGUGUGUCAUGUAUUGUUUUUUUUUCUCUGUGUGUGUGUGUGUGUGUGUGCGUGUUUACAUCCAUAUUGUUUGGACAUCAGUGACCAAUCUGGGUUAAUCGAUACAAACACAUACGAUUGAUUCGCCCCACGAUGUUAUGUGAGCGAAUGUGACGUCACAGAUGGAGGGCAGGAGGACGAGAGGUGGAGUGGUAGAUGGAACGUUGCCCCCUGUGGCAGGUUCGACCUAUGAGGGGGGGGUCUCGGAAUGACGAAGAUGCAGUCGGUUCCAUUUAUGGCGCGUUUCCACCGAGCGGUACGGUGCGGUACGGUACGGGUCGGGUCCCUUUUAUUUGUGUCUCCACUGCCAAAAGUUGAGAAUGGUACCAAAAAUCCGAACCGUACCGUACCACUUUUUGGGUACCCUUCCGUCGGGGUACCUGGCACAGUUGUUUGGUACUAAAGGGCAGAGCUAGACUCACUGCAGAGCGUCGAUUGGUUGAAAGAGUGUCGUCAUUUGCGCGGGCCGCAAAGGGAAAGACAACACACGCAACACACCUGCAGCAUGUAGCCUUUGCUCAAACAAAGACUGUCGUCGCCUUGUGACAAACAGCCACAUAUCGAGAAGCAAGAACAGGAUCGGCUGUCUGUCCUCCAUUGUUGUUUGCGGUUAGCUUUCAGUUUUCGCGCGAUCGAAUGUCGUCAAUCUACUUUCGGUCAUAUACCACGCCUAUCAAGUGACGUUAGCACUACUUUCUGGAAUACACCACGCCUAUCAAGUAAGGGUACUGUUGGCGGUGGAAACGCUCGCCAAAUCAUGGUUAACAGACCCGACCCGACCCCGUGCCGCUCGGUGGAAACGCGCCAUUAUACAGUCUUUAUUUUAUGCUCAACAGCAGGACACGACCGGCUCCAGCCUCCUCGCCUCGCUCAGCACCUCUGCUGUCGCUGGAUCUCCCCAUCUUAAGGACAAACACGCGCAACGAUUAAUCCCACCCGAGGCCAAUUAUGCCUCCUCCUGGCACCGUUCCCCGAACCCCUCCCUUCUCCGUCCCGUCUGCAGCUGGGCAAAACCACGCCCGCCACCACACCCCCCAAUCACCGUGUUACGUGUAAAGGCGUAAAUUAAGAGCUAACCCUAACCCACCAGUAAAAUGCCAAAUGUUUCUGCUAAAGUUGAGGCAAAGAAAAAUAAGAUACCAUGACUUGUAACCCAAACAAAUGGGUCCUUUACUAAGUCACUAACUAUCUUUGUCGCCUAAACCUAAAAUGAGUUUUCUUUGAAGACUGAAGUUUAUUUUGAAAAGAAAAUUGUUUCUGGCGUUCCAAGGAAAACUCACCAAAAAUGAGUAGCGUGUCUUUGUAUGACAUCAUCAUGUGUGAUAAAAAAGCACAGCGGAGUAAAUGAAUCACCUACUGCCUGACACUCAGUUUUACAAGUGUAACAACAUUACGAGCGUGAUGUUGGUGUUGACUUUUGGUCCAUAUUGGAGAUGAGGAACAGCCUCCAGGGGGAAAGUGUGCUGGUUUGACCUAUUCAUCACCCACCAACCAUUAAUCGACGUUCCCGCUUGCUGUACUUGUUGUUUUAAUGUGCAGCUUUCAAUGAGGAUCACUUGAUCUACUUGAUCACUUGAAACCGACUGCAAACACGUCGAGAUCCAACCUACCUGUCGUUUGCAGAAACAGCGGCAACGUCUUUCUCCUGCCGAUGGAGCUAAAUUCUUUUAUUGAUUGGAAGAAAACAUUUUGCCUGACUUACGAACACUGGUGCAGUUAUUGCUUUUAAGAAAUAAAAAUGACCAAAGUGGAAUCUGAAAUAGGAGUCAACUGGCAAGAAGCUGAUAUCCAGGCAAACAGCGCAGUUGAUUUACAGCACCACACCCGCCUGAAUCCAUCUGCAUAAAACAAGUCCUCUGGUCUCCAAGCAGAGGCGUGGGGAAGGUUCUGGCUGCCGACACAUUGAUCCAUUUGCUCAUUUUAUUUAUUCCUCCGUAAUUCACAGCCGUGAAUCUCAUGUGCUUCUCCUGAAAUGAACAAACAGAUACAAAUCUACAGAGAAAGCAAAAGACACACAGGAGCAUACGGACAUGUAGCAGGGUAAUCAAUAAUAAUAAUAAAUGUUAGAUGAAGAAGAUGGACUGAGGGAACACAUGACACUUCUAAUCAUAUAAAAGCUAUGAUGCAACAUGUUAACACAGGAGUUAUAUUUGCAUAUUACAAAACCUAAUUUUAAUGAAAACCGCCCUUUUAUUUCCCUAUCGCCACGUUUAAACAAUGCCGUGUUUCCUCAAGGUGUCACAGGAAAGUGUGCACAAAGACAGGUGCACAUAAUUCAACACAGGGGCCGUCGGGAAGAGUCCUUUGGUGCCGGGCGAGGAAUCUGGUGUCCGAGUGCAGGCGCGGGUUCAAAUCCCAACAGCUGCUUCUCUUGACCCGGUAAGGAGGUUUACGGCCCCCCCUACUUUUAGGAAGGGUUCAAGUUUGCCUCUGAUGACGUAGGAGUCCUCUCCGAGCUGUGCCCUUAACCGAUUUGCACGCUCAGAAAGAAAAACGCGUUCGUCCCACGCAUUUACAGGCCAUGUUUAAAAAGAAACAAUUGCUAAUGUACACAUGGAGCUGUGCCAACUCGUUGUACAUUUGGCUGAAUUCUGCACAUCUGUUAUUUAUGCCUCAUUAGCGCUUUACCAACCUAGAUGCACCUUGCACAUCUGUGACUGCUGAGUCCAUCGGUGCUGCUGCACUGGAAGAACUAUUUGUCUCUGGAAGGAUUUUGCGAUGGGUUUGGGCGCAGUUGUUUGUUUAUGUGCAGACGCCAGAGCAGAAGAGGCUGAAAGCCGACAGGCAGCUUGAUCCAGCUGUGUCGUGGCUUUGCUGCAAACAGUUUUUCCUCUUGGAAUUGGUCCUUGACGCCUCUCUAAUCGGGACUUCUUCCAUGCAGAGAAAACAAGAAUACCAGCAGCGUUGGUGGAAUGCAAGAAAGGGAUGUUUGGGCUAAAAUCUUUGCUUGAUGUGUUUUAUUGAAAGAUGAGCGAUCCAGCACAUAGUCACAGCGCGGUGAACACAAAUUAAAUCAGUCGGGGCGGCUUAGCAGUUCAAACCACCAGGCGGAAGGUCGGUCUUGGCUGAACAAUGACACUUCCUGUCUUCCGAGGUGACCCUGGCAUCAAAUGUCACUCCUCCAAUGCUCUUACCUGAAGGAGAGGUAGCGCAUCAAAAACUGAAAUGUAGGUAGCGCUUCAUCUCUUACACAUUAAUUAAACGUCUCUCACUCUUUGAGUUUAUUGAUGCUGUGAGUAACUUUAUUUGGUUAUAGAGUAUUCUCAAUUCAUUGCCAUGUGACUGCUUUGGUAGCAAUACCUUUUUUAAGAAAUUUCAUUGCCUAAAACACUACAUGCAUGUAAGAAGUGGAAAUGCUAACGUGCUGAAGAGUUUUCAUGGGGUAUCAAAAGAAACAAGGAUAUUGGAGGAUGUGUGCCUAACGAGACCAUCAGAAGAUGAGCUAGUGGGGCUCAACAGCGGCUCCUCCUCCUUCUGGGGGCUGAGAAUCUGAGCAAAAUGCUUCAGGCUUGAUGACCAUAUUCUUUUUUUCUUAUUCCUCCACUUAUUCAUACACGCAUUUAUUCCUUCUGCAUAAAAUCUAGUAGUUAGUAUGCAACCUGGUCUUGGAUCAACACCAUCCCAGAUUGCACUCCUGUGUCCUAGUGUCUCUUCUGGUCCAUCUGAAUGGGAAUCAAGCUGCAAGGUUUGGGAGUCAUGACGUUUUUUUACUACAAACAUGGGGGAAGCGGUUCUGCAGUCAGCUUUUAUCUCCCGGGAUGCCGCAACUGAGAUAGUCGGGAAGGCGUGCCGGCGUUCCAAGAUCUGCAAUCCUGCUCACGGAGGCUUGAAAAAACGCUAAAGAUAGAGAGUGUGCCCGAGUAAAUAUAGGGACAGUGGGAUCCUUCAUCGCCGCUAGUGCGUGACAACUGAACUUUCGUUGCUGGUCGUAUUAAACUGCGAGGCUCGAAUGGUCCAGGACAUUUCUCUACAUCGUAAAAAUGGCAUUGCUGUCAUUCAUCACAUCUGCUUCACGCAUGCAUUUAAGGGGACACAAGGACGUGCAUGUCGGAGUUAGUGCAAGAUGGCCAGCUGGUGGUGCUAGAAUAAUAAACACUAAUGUUACUUUUCCACCUUUCAUCUGAUCUACUUCAUAUGAUGCUGUGUGCGCUGUGUCUAAUUUGGUUAAAUUUGCACGCACGACAGGAUAAAUAUUAAUAAACAAACACCUGACCAGCAGUCCCUGCCGCAUUUUUCCGUCUGCGGCUAACUGACGGCCACUGGAAGCUCGAUAUGCUAACGUAAACCCUUAUCAGCAAGACUGGACUUGCUGAUAACGAUUUCAAAGGGAAAGUUGAAUCAGAUUAAUUUUUAUCCCAGGCUCUUUUCUUUUUUAGGUCUCGAAUACUGUGACCUUUGACUCAUGGAAAUACCAAUUCUCUCCUGGAUGCUUUUUUCGGCUGAGCUAUUGCUAAUUAUAAGUCUCAGAGGACGAGUGCUGGAUUGAUGAAAAAAGGUGAAACAAAAGGUGAUUAGAAGGAGAAGUUUACUUCGGAAGUUGUUGAAUUUGCAGAUAGCGUCAGGCAGCUGAGCUUCUUUCUCCCGUCGUUAUCGGGAAUUAGAAUGUCCUCAGUGAGGCAGCAUGUAAAUGAGGACAUUUGAAAACGCUGCACGCUUGCUCCUCAGUUUUGUCACCUGUGUGUGCGGCUGUGUGUCGAACAAAGAGAAAGAGACAUAAUAAAGAAAAUGAGGAUGAUGCCAAUGACGAUAAGAGAGGCGAAGGGCGCGAGGGGUAAAUAAAGGAGUGAAAUGAGGUUCGGAUGGAAAGCAGUGGUGACGGAGGUGGGGGUGGUUACCGAGAGAUGGAGGAUGUGAGGAGGAAAAGGGGAACGUGGAGGAGGAGAGGUAACAGUUGAGGAGAUGAGGAAAAAGCGAAGGUGACGAGGAAGGAGACAAGAGGGAGAGGAAGAGCAGAGAAGAUGAGUUUAUGGUGGAACGGCAGAAGAGAGGAGAAGAGUUGGAAAAGACAAGCAAAAGGUGGAGGAGAGUAGCCGUCAAAGUCGUUUCAUCUACACGCCUACGUUAGCACCUCGCUCGUGAGAUGCCUCUUUGAUAGCCGGUAGUCGUUAGCCAGUAGCUGUUAGCUGGUGGCUGUUAGCUGUUAGCUGGUAGCCGUUAGCCAGUAGCUGUUAGCUGGUGGCUGUUAGCUGUUAGCUGGUAGCCGUUACCCGUUAGCCGGCCUCAGUGAGUUCAUUGACGGCCUGCUUUGACUCAGCUGGCGCUGAACGUGUUCCCUCCCUGCUGAUCAAUGAACACAUGACCCAACUAUGAAAUAGGUCACGCCACUGAUUGAUAACUACAAACAAGACAUGGCUUCCUAUAGUAUACAUCAAUAGAGCAUAUUGUUUCCCUGGGCUGAUGUGUGUAACACUGUGUGAUAACUCCUGACAGCUUUAUGAUAUGUUACUGUAUCAUAUAAGCCUUUCUUUCAGGUUUGAUUGAUCACAUCGGUUGUUGAAUUGAUCUGGUUGUUAACUGCAGAGCCCUCAAUUUAAAUAUAGCAAAUGAUUCUGACUCAUUGACUCAACAUUUAACCCUGGUGAAUCUGAUGAGGACUCCCCAUGCAGGACGUUGGACAGUUUUAGUGUCCCUCGAUGAUCUGCAGGCAGUAUCUCCAGAGGUCGUUCCUCUCUUGACUCCUGAGGGAGCCUCUUCCUCGGUGCUCUGAACGCAUCGCCGGAGUUCCGUGCUGCGCUCGUAAUGGGACUGUCACGUUGUUUCAGUGUAAAUUGAUGCUGUUUAGUGGGCGAUAACAACAUCCAAUGGUAUUAGAGAGAGAACUGUGGGAUGAGAGAAUUAGAUUUAGUAAAGUGAGGUAGAAACUGUGUUAGUGGGCACAUACCAGAAGGAAGAAGGAGAGAGAGGGCUGAGCAGAUGAAUGAUGCAUUGGGGCGAUUUAGCAAAUUCUUUUAACGUUAUGUUCCCAUUAAAAAGCUCCGUUUAAAAUAAAUGAAAUGUCAUUCAGCAACCCAGUUGACAAAAACAUGUAUUGAUAUUCUGUAAACCACAUUUCAUUAACAUGUUCAACAUCAAACAAAGUAACGCAACAGCAGAUUUGAUUAAGUAAAGGUGAGGUAGCAUAGUGUAAGUAAACAUUUACUUAUGGUUCUACAAGGUGCACAGGCAGCUGUUUCCUUUGUGUGAUUCAUCAUUGAAGGCAUUGGCCUCUCUUGCUCAUUAUACUCCUUAUUGUACAACACGGCUCGCAUUAGAAUACGUUAUUGGUUCUGUGUGGAACUAAAACACGGCACCAGUGGUUCGUGUAGCACGCCAACGCCUGGGCUGGAUAAGGCGCACGUCUUCCAUCAAUUUUAUUUAAGUGAAUUCAACGGGAUUCGACAGGAUUACAUAAUUGAAGGAGCACUAGUAAACAUGACAGGUUGCAUUUCAUUUCUGCUUUUUUACCAUUUACCAUUUUUGAAGGCAUUAGUGUGUAAGAGUAACAGUGGACCUCCCACCCCAUCCCCAUCUCCCACACUGGCACUGCUCAACAAUGUGCAUGGAAUGCAUGUGCAUGUCUUCGUUGUGUGUGUGUGUGUGUGUGUGUCCUUUCUGGUCCUUUUUAGGUCUUGUCACCUCGCCCCGUUGCCCAGAUGAGUUCAAGCUAAACCUUCUGCCUCUUAUCUCACGUUAGCUGAUUGGCUAACUCACUAUCGGUCUCAAGAGCUGCCAGUUCCUGACUGAGAUCAGCACUGAUUUCUUUGAUUAUGGAAGGGAUGUUUUUUGUCGGCUGCAUGUUUAUCCAUCAAAAAUAAUGUGGGAGAAUAAAAGGCCAGAAACCACUCAUGGAAGACUAAAAACGUACAGCAGUGAGCGCCGAGAUCUGCAACAGCAAUGAGUAUAAAUCAAUACUAGCAUUCAGAGGCCAUGAUCAAAAUACCACUGUGUGAUUGGUGCCCUGUUGGCUUUUUGGAAAUAACUUUAAAUGCAAACUCUUUCCUUUCCCCAUUCAGCUGAUGCGUUGGCCUCCACUGGGUGUCACAUAAGGUCUGUGCGUGAAGAAUGUGGGGCGACAGGCUGUGUGAAUGUGUAAAACUGCAUACAUGUUCGCUGUCAAGUCAACACAUAGUUACCAGCCUUUGUGCGCCCGAGUGGGUGCAGUUAUUUGCCACUGUACGUUACUCUUCAUGUAUGAAUCUGUGGAUCCUUGGGCACAGUGAGCUCAUUGUCGACUCCCCUUGACCAAUGAGAGGAGGGAAUGAGAUUCGGCGGCGAGUUUUACCGACGAUACGUGUGAAUCCCUCAGUCUGGAGCUGGAGGGAGUUAUGAACUGUACGGGUGUGGACAGAGAGAAAGAGAGAGGAGUGGCUGGUGAGGUGGGACUGAAGGUCAGACCAGUGUUUCCUGUAUUUAUGCCGCCUUCAGGUGCUGCAAGCUGUUAUUAAUUGGCUCUGUGGUUGAAAAGAUAUGUCCCACUGUAUGUUAUACAGGUAGAAAAAACGAUUCAUGUUAUCAGGCCUCAUGCUAGCUAGGGGUCUCUGAAAGGGAUUUAUAUACCUGUAAUCUUCUUCUUUUUUUUUGCCUACUUCAAAAGUGCAAACAUAUGUUUUUAUUUGUAGAUAAAUAGGGCUUUUUCAUUUACUAUUCUGUAAUAUAAUUAAUUUAAAUGUUGGUCAGAUUAAAUACAUUCGGGGAAACAACCUGCAGCUCUAAAAAAAGAUACUCCUGUAUUCUCUCUAAUGGCCAUCAGGGGGCUGCUGGUGGGUUUAAACAGGAGUCUGAUUCAUUUCAAACAUCUCCAAUCCAAAAAAUACGAAUACAAAAUGUAAAAACCAACAGAUGAAGUAAAACAGUAAUGAUGACUUAUCAUCAUGGAAGUUAUUUCCUACAACCCUUAAAAGUUUCUGCACAGUUAAACAGUCAGAGCCGGUUUGUGCUGAGAAUCAAUAUGAGAAAAUGCACAUCAGCAAUAUAACCAAUGCUGUACUGGCCCAAUAUUCCCACCACGCAUGGCCACGGACUUAACAGACCAUGUUAUCAUGUUUUACAUCUUCAGCACCACAUCCCUGUAAUUCAAUUACCAUUGGAAAUGGUUUCAUUUUGCUGGUUGCGUGCUUCACUCUGCAGGGUGGCUUGUGAGCAGCACUUGACCACCCAACCUUUACAUCAGUACUUUACAACAGUCCUUGGAGGCAAUAGUUAGAAAAGACAAUGUGAGGUUACUCAACAGAAUGUGUUGCCUCAGCCUCAUGUUGUGUGUGUGUGUGUUUAAAUGAGUAAGAUCAUAGGCCAGAAUUCAAGACUUUGGGUCUCUAGAGAUUAGCAGGAACUCUGUUUCUGAGUCCACACAACACAACUCUAAGAAGGCGCAGCAGCACGGGGCCGAUGACCGAUAAAAGCAAAUGUCACUGCAGCUUAACCAACUUGAAAUGAAAAUUGUUUUCUUUAAAUUAUUUCCUGUUCCGAAUUCAAGAUAAAAUCAUCUAUCUGCUCUUUUUACUGAAGACAUUUUCUGCUCAAUUCAACGUUAUCUGAGAAUUUCUGUAGAGAUAAUUUUCCAAUGUGGUACCCAGGUUUACUUAUAGUCUUCUGAUCGGACUGCAGGCACAUCUUCCGAACGCUUUCUUUUUCUCCUCUCGCCCAUUUUGUACGCGUUUAUUUUCCCAUAUAGGGUUCCCACUAAAACGUAUUUCUUUGUUAGCUUAAGCUAACUUGUUUUCUCCAAACGCAAUGUUGCCGAAUGAGAAAGAAAACCAAACAAUCUGUGUCCCUGCACACAAAACCAAGUGCUGCAACUAUUUCAUGGACGGCAGUGGUUGGCAAACGCACACACACACACACACAUCCCAUCAUCAUCAAGUGUCCGUUAAGUGAGAGACCCAAUAAAGAAAAGUGGUUACACUGAAUGUCUUUUUAUGAUAAUUGGGCAGGUUCUGGGCUCAGAUUGGUGUCAGUCGACUCCGUGUUGCGGAUUGUCGCCCUGAGGGGAGAAGCUGAUUGGUGGGAACUGUUUAUCUGCCUGUAUGUGUGUGUGUGUGUCUGUGUGUUUGAGUACCUGCACGGCUCUAACAAUAGAGCACAUCCCGCGGCACAGUUUGUUCUUUAUUUUAAUGUGGAACAGGGGGUCUUGUGCGUGACGGGUCGUCCGUCAGCAUCAGACACCACAUGGCUCCUCCGCCAUUUGAAAUCAGCGCGAGGAGUGUGAACACAGGCUGGCGUGUGAAAGCCACAGAUCACGCGACGGGUUGUAAUAAAUAGGGCGGCGUUCUUCUAUAGGUCAGUAUGUGAGGCCAUACCGAAGAGAAAUCUAUUCUCUGUGCCCGUCUCCCAUCCAGACCUUUUAGUAAGUACGUAAUGCCAACGCGGGGAAUGUGGUCCCCGACGUGCACCUCUCAGAUACAAUCUAUGAAAGCACCGCUUUGCUGUGGUCAAAACACAAGUCAAGGUCAGCCCGCCGGCACAGUGGGUGGGUGAGAAGACGGCUGCAGGCGCGCCACGCAGGGUGAAUUAAUACCCGUUUCAGUCCCGUUCGCUGCAAGCGGUAUUUUGUCCCGCGGCCUGGUAAGCAAUGCGAUGCCCCGGUCACAGGUCAACGAUCCGCCGCCGCCUUGAAUCAAAGAGCUCCAUCAAUCAGGGCGCUCCCGAUUCAGGAACGUCCUCCGCCAGAUGCGUUUUACAAGAUGAGAGAUGGAAGCUGAUUCUGCUUUAGGAGCCCCGUUGCUCGACACAGCACAGCGUGGAGUCGCCGGGAGCUAACGUCCGUCCCUGCCUCGCCCCAACGGGAAGAAGGAAACCGCCCCUUUCGCUUUGAUAUCCACCUCCGGAUUUUAAUGUAUGCCCAAAAACUUCUCUAACAGUUAUUAGGUCUGGAUCGCCUUUGCGAGGCUCUCCCUCCGAUCGUCCUUCAUGCCGGUGACAGUUAAUCUUCUUUAUAAUCAAAGCGCGACUUCAGUGACUCUGUGACUUUAACAUCAGUCAUUUACCGCUGAUUGCAGUGAUUUAUUAUAUCUUCAUGGAAGCGUUUUAAUCCCAUAAGGGUUACACUGGUGCACACGUGAUGUAUUGUAUUGGCCUGUUUCCCAGUGAAGUGUGCGAGGCCGCUCUGUGGCGGACCUUCUUCAGCGAGCCGGCUGCACGUUUGUCUAUUUAAAGCUUAGACACACUUGAAUCCUUUAAGUACCGUGUUGACAGAGGAGCAGUAGGACAGUGGAACAAUGCGAAUUGGGCAUUUUAAUAUCACUUGAGAAGAAAAUAUUACCAGGAAUAUGUUAAAUUGCUCCAUUCUGAAAAUGAAACCUUAAAACAAUCCUGGUGGUGAAUGUCGGAGGGAUGGUGAGGCUGCUUUCGGCCGUUGCUACGGUUUCUACAAGAGAGGGAAUUCUUCCAGUUGGUUGGUUGCAUCUCAAGGAUACACUGAUCUUAAACAUGUGCAGCUGCCUGUCACGAUUAGUGUGCACCAACGUGUCCCCCCUGUCCCAGCAGGUUAUAUUUGGAAAAGCCACCUCUCUUGACUGGAUUCCUCUUUGACCGACUGCGUUUGAUCUGGCGGAGCCCAAGUUGAGAGGCCAGACACGGGCGAUGCUUUUACAUCACAUGGCAUUUCGCUGACGCUGUUAUCCAAAGCGACAUACGGUGCAUUUUUAACCAACGUAGUGUGCUGCCGUAAGGGCGGCCGGGGAGCAGUUAGUGUCCCCGUGUAAGACACCUGACCCCUUCGACACGCAAGACAUGGAGCAGCCAGGGUUCAAACCACCAACCCUUCAGUACAAUAUUGAAAUAGUGCAGAAUCUUUGGCGAUUGGACUCCAUCCUAACUUUAAUGACACCUGACAGCAACACAGAGAAAAACCCCUUAAAAAGGUUUGACAGCGACUAUGUGAUUGGUUUAGAGCCACAGCGCCGCCUCUGUUGGUCGCAUACACCUGGGUGCAGCCAAUCUCCGCUGAUUGGAUAAUUAUGGGAGACCAGCUGAAGUGUAUCUGAAUCCCGCGUGGCAUAAAGGGAGUCUUCCUUCUGGAACUACCGCUUAAGCUCCAUUUGAGCUGUGACCACCGAACAGUUGGAGCUGCAGCAUACAGCUGACGUGUACGUGUGUUAAGGUUCUAGAUAAAUAGCUUUUAUGCUCUCCUUUGUAUCUCAUAGAUCUGGUUUGUUUUUUGUUCCACAUGUUCGGGGCCAUGCUACAGCUCCAUCUUUGGCUCACAAUCAAAGUUUUUCGGAAUGUGUUGGAUGGGAGUAUCUUCUAUCCCUUUUUUCCCAACAAUCCUUAAAGACCUCUUACUUACAAAAACGCAUCUUUGGAUGAGAGAGGUUAUUAAUGGAAUCCUUCCUCUCAUGAAUUACUGCGAUUCUGGGUAGGGGCUGCAGCCCUUCGGGACCCUUUUAGAACCUCAACACAGUCACUUACGAAUUGCAUAGAGAAGGGAAACUCUUAAGAUUUCAGUCCUGUUGGACUGGGUUUUUUCUAUUUGAGUUAAAAUAAUGAAAUUGUAAAUGCAGAAUAACUACAGACAAAAAUAAAUAAAUCCAUUAUAUAAAUAAAAUCACAUGAUGAAGUCAUCAAACGUGUUUCAUCCCAACAAGACGAAAUUUAACAUAGAAAUCUUUGCUCCAGUCUUGAACGCUGUCCAUUUAGCACAGAGGUCAUCCGAGGCCUUCAGAAGAACACCGUGUUGUCAGCGUGGAGUUCUUUUUCUAUCGGCGCAAAGUACUCAAAUAAACUGAGGCCAGAACUUGAGAUGAUUUUGGAGUGUCGCCUGUGAUGAAAUACUGUACUGGUUUCAAAGAAGCACCGGGCACAUAGCUCCUCGCUUGGCAGCCGCCUGACCUUACACUGCGGCCCUGUUUUUGGAUGGGCGACUGACCCCGUGAGCACCAAACGUUAUCGAAAUGUCAGCGUGGAUGUUCUGGAUGCUGCUAAGAAAUACCUCCUCCUUUCAGUUGACAGCUCCGAUACCUGGACGGCGAUGGUGUCCGCGGUUGUCCUGCUGCAGCUCACAGCCCAGACUGUCCUCUUCAGUGGACUCUUCUUUCCUGUUGAGACAUUUAUGUUGUUAGCCCCUCCCCUCCCGGUGGCACUUCCUCGCACAUACUUGUGUUUCUUCCCAGAGGAGUUAUUAUUUUUAAAACACAAGCACAAUUUGUACUACUAUAUAUUCUGUAUCGCCCCACUGAUCCGGCUCCGUGUUGUCCCGUUAAUCAGUACCCCCGUCUCCCCUCUGACCUUUGACCUACUAAUCUCGUUCCUUGUGACACUGAUGAUUUGGAAGUGGAAGGCUGCGCUGUUCGUCUGCCUGAACCAGAGGGCUCGCUGAAGGCCUCAAAUGUAAACACAAAUGUGGUAACACAAGAAGAGAAGAUCAACUUCCGUUUAACAGGUUAUUAUCAGAAGGCACACAUUAACGCUUCCUCUCUUUUGACUCAGAAAUAUGAGGUAUUGUUGCCUCUAUUAUCAUGGUUGGAACAAUCUUCUAUGUUUGUGGACACACCACUGCUGUUUUAAUCAACUCAUUUUACUUACUUCUCAAACAUGCAAUGCAGGUAAUUAUUCUACCUCUUACCUUGUUUGGAGUAGGAGUAACCUGUCCGCGUGAACUAAUACCAUCCUGGAUUAUUACCGCCCUAUUGUUACUGCUAAUGAUGAUCAAAACCGCGGAAUAAGACUUUCAGACUUUCCUAUAACUAUCCUCAAAUUUUACAAUGAAUCGGCCCUCACUAAGACGUAGCAGCACGCGCUCGUUGCUAUAAGGUACUGACCAACACACACUCACAGAGGACACAGCGCCUGUGCUGCAAUGCAGAGAUAAUGUCACAAUCACCACUGCUAGUGUGCGUGUGUCAUCAUGCUGGAUUUUCUCUUAUCUGCUCGUGGGAAUAGCUGCAAUUCGAAUAACUUAAAAUAAUAACAAUU
ensembl:lncRNA